rnacentral:rRNA from 1 species
GAGCAAUCUGUGUGACUGCGUACCUUUUGUAUAAUGGGUCAGCGACUUAUAUUCUGUAGCAAGGUUAACCGAAUAGGGGAGCCGAAGGGAAACCGAGUCUUAACUGGGCGUUAAGUUGCAGGGUAUAGACCCGAAACCCGGUGAUCUAGCCAUGGGCAGGUUGAAGGUUGGGUAACACUAACUGGAGGACCGAACCGACUAAUGUUGAAAAAUUAGCGGAUGACUUGUGGCUGGGGGUGAAAGGCCAAUCAAACCGGGAGAUAGCUGGUUCUCCCCGAAAGCUAUUUAGGUAGCGCCUCGUGAAUUCAUCUCCGGGGGUAGAGCACUGUUUCGGCAAGGGGGUCAUCCCGACUUACCAACCCGAUGCAAACUGCGAAUACCGGAGAAUGUUAUCACGGGAGACACACGGCGGGUGCUAACGUCCGUCGUGAAGAGGGAAACAACCCAGACCGCCAGCUAAGGUCCCAAAGUCAUGGUUAAGUGGGAAACGAUGUGGGAAGGCCCAGACAGCCAGGAUGUUGGCUUAGAAGCAGCCAUCAUUUAAAGAAAGCGUAAUAGCUCACUGGUCGAGUCGGCCUGCGCGGAAGAUGUAACGGGGCUAAACCAUGCACCGAAGCUGCGGCAGCGACGCUUAUGCGUUGUUGGGUAGGGGAGCGUUCUGUAAGCCUGCGAAGGUGUGCUGUGAGGCAUGCUGGAGGUAU